AUUGAACGCUGGCGGCAGGCCUAACACAUGCAAGUCGAACGCGUGGCGGACGGGUGAGUAAUGUCUGGGAAACUGCUUGUUGGAGGGGGAUAACUAUUGGACACGGUCGCUAAUACCGUAUACCAUAAGAUGCGCCCAGAUGGGAUUCGCUAGUUGGUGGGGUAACGGCUCACAAAGGCGACGAUCCCUAGCUGGUCUGAGAGGAUGACCAGCCACACUGGAACUGAGACACGGUACAGACUCCUACGGUAGGCAGCAGUGGGGAAUAUUGCACAAUGGGCGCAAGCCUGAUGCAGCCAUGCCGCGUGUGUAAAGAAGGCCUUCGGGGUGUAAAGUACUUUCAGCGGGGAGGCGUUACCCGCAGAAGAAGCACCGGCUAACUCCGUGCCAGCCGCCGCGGUAAUAC
rnacentral:rRNA from 1 species